GGCUGGGUGGUGUAAUGGUAACACGCCCUCGUUACAUGUAUUGAAUGCAAUGUAAUCAUUUAAGAGGGAAUCCUUUGUUCGAGUCAAGGCCCAGCCA